GCCUGGGUGGCUCAGUUGGUUGAGCGUCCGACUUCGGCUCAGGUCAUGAUCUCACGGUCUGUGGGUUCGAGCCCCACGUCGGGCU
rnacentral:tRNA from 1 species